GAUGAACGCUGGCGGCGUGCCUAGUACAUGCAAGUCGAGCGAACGGACGAGAAGCUUGCUUUUCUGAUGUUAGCGGCGGACGGGUGAGUAACACGUGGAUAACCUACCUAUAAGACUGGGAUAACUUCGGGAAACCGGAGCUAAUACCGGAUAAUAUUUUGAACCGCAUGGUUCAUAAGUGAAAGACGGUCUUGCUGUCACUUAUAGAUGGAUCCGCGCUGCAUUAGCUAGUUGGUAAGGUAACGGCUUACCAAGGCAACGAUGCAUAGCCGACCUGAGAGGGUGAUCGGCCACACUGGAACUGAGACACGGUCCAGACUCCUACGGGAGGCAGCAGUAGGGAAUCUUCCGCAAGGGGCGAAAGCCUGACGGAGCAACGCCGCGUGAGUGAUGAAGGUCUUCGGAUCGUAAAACUCUGUUAUUAGGGAAGAACAUAUGUGUAAGUAACUGUGCACAUCUUGACGGUACCUAAUCAGAAAGCCACGGCUAACUACGUG
rnacentral:rRNA from 1 species